rnacentral:rRNA from 1 species
AUUGAACGCUGGCGGCAGGCUUAACACAUGCAAGUCGAGCGGGGGAAGGUAGCUUGCUACCGGACCUAGCGGCGGACGGGUGAGUAAUGCUUAGGAAUCUGCCUAUUAGUGGGGGACAACAUCUCGAAAGGGAUGCUAAUACCGCAUACGUCCUACGGGAGAAAGCAGGGGAUCUUCGGACCUUGCGCUAAUAGAUGAGCCUAAUGCGGAUUAGCUAGUUGGUGGGGUAAAGGCCUACCAAGGCGACGAUCUGUAGGGGGUCUGAGAGGAUGAUCCGCCACACUGGGACUGAGACACGGCCCAGACUCCUCAGUGAGGCAGCAGUGGGGAAUAUUGGACAAUGGGGGGAACCCUGAUCCAGCCAUGCCGCGUGUGUGAAGAAGGCCUUAUGGUUGUAAAGCACUUUAAGCGAGGAGGAGGCUACUUUAGUUAAUACCUAGAGAUAGUGGACGUUACUCGCAGAAUAAGCACCGGCUAACUCUGUGCCAGCAGCCGCCGUAA